CUGACCACAAGAUAUGAAAGAAGUAAAUGAUCACACACACGCAAAGAAAAUUCAGAUUUGAUGCAAACAAGGAGUAUGAUUGGGAUGCAAGUGUUGCAAUCAGACCCAACCAAAAUAUUGCACCAAACAGAGAUAGCAAACUGGUUGCAGAACUUGACAUGAAACUUUCAGCACUUGUGCACAAAAACCAACUAAUCUUUCAGACUUUCUCUCUGAACCUUUCUCAACUUUUUUUUCACUUCACUUUUUUUUGCACUUUCUUUUCUAUUUUUUUGACACACUUUUUUAUAGAACUAAACAUAGGGAUCAGAUUAUGACACUUGCACAACUAAAGACAGAAAUAAAAUAACAACCAGUAGCUAGAUAGGAUCAAAGUUAACACAAAGGAUGAUUUAGGCUAUUGAGUUUUUUUUGUGGGGAUUUUUAGAUAUAAAAGAGGCACAAAGAACACGCGAAGGAUAAAUGAUCAGCAACUAAAACAAAGACUCUAAUGGACUACAACUUAACCAAACUCACUAAAAUAACAGAUUAAAACAAAGGUCUAAGCAAUAUAUUUUUUUUGGCUUUUUGGUCGAUAGGACGAAAGCAAAAUAUAUAUGUAGCUAGGGACAAAAUUCCUACCGUGGUAACGAAAGCUUUGAUACCAGAUGAUGCGACACGUUGUCCCGAUCUUCACGAUGUAGGAUGAACACCGAUAACUAGCUGAAGAACAGCCGGAUAACUUCCUGCAAGCAGCGAUAACUAGUUUGCAACCUGGCAAAUAAAACUCGAAGCCAACCACCGUCUUUAACCGGCAACCUGAAUCGAGGAUUCGCCCAACCACACUCUCAAGGAACCAACCAACAUAGCCUAAAAUCAAUCAAGGAAUACCUUGAAGGGAGUAGGAGCACCAAUUGGGAGCAGAUGAAGCCGCCACCUAUGUAAUCCUGCGAGGAAAUCACAAGAGCAAAGUGGUAGA
rnacentral:lncRNA from 1 species